rnacentral:rRNA from 1 species
CAGGCUUAACACAUGCAAGUCGAGGGGCAGCAUGGUCUUAUCUUGCUAAGACUGAUGGCGACCGGCGCACGGGUGAGUAACACGUAUCCAACCUGCCGUCUACUCUUGGACAGCCUUCUGAAAGGAAGAUUAAUACAAGAUGGCAUCAUGAGUCCGCAUGUUCACAUGAUUAAAGGUAUUCCGGUAGACGAUGGGGAUGCGUUCCAUUAGAUAGUAGGCGGGGUAACGGCCCACCUAGUCUUCGAUGGAUAGGGGUUCUGAGAGGAAGGUCCCCCACAUUGGAACUGAGACACGGUCCAAACUCCUACGGGAGGCAGCAGUGAGGAAUAUUGGUCAAUGGGCGAGAGCCUGAACCAGCCAAGUAGCGUGAAGGAUGACUGCCCUAUGGGUUGUAAACUUCUUUUAUAAAGGAAUAAAGUCGGGUAUGGAUACCCGUUUGCAUGUACUUUAUGAAUAAGGAUCGGCUAACUCCGUGCCAGCAGCCGCGGUAAUACGGAGGAUCCGAGCGUUAUCCGGAUUUAUUGGGUUUAAAGGGAGCGUAGAUGGAUGUUUAAGUCAGUUGUGAAAGUUUGCGGCUCAACCGUAAAAUUGCAGUUGAUACUGGAUAUCUUGAGUGCAGUUGAGGCAGGCGGAAUUCGUGGUGUAGCGGUGAAAUGCUUAGAUAUCACGAAGAACUCCGAUUGCGAAGGCAGCCUGCUAAGCUGCAACUGACAUUGAGGCUCGAAAGUGUGGGUAUCAAACAGGAUUAGAUACCCUGGUAGUCCACACGGUAAACGAUGAAUACUCGCUGUUUGCGAUAUACUGCAAGCGGCCAAGCGAAAGCGUUAAGUAUUCCACCUGGGGAGUACGCCGGCAACGGUGAAACUCAAAGGAAUUGACGGGGGCCCGCACAAGCGGAGGAACAUGUGGUUUAAUUCGAUGAUACGCGAGGAACCUUACCCGGGCUUAAAUUGCAGAUGAAUUACGGUGAAAGCCGUAAGCCGCAAGGCAUCUGUGAAGGUGCUGCAUGGUUGUCGUCAGCUCGUGCCGUGAGGUGUCGGCUUAAGUGCCAUAACGAGCGCAACCCUUGUUGUCAGUUACUAACAGGUUCCGCUGAGGACUCUGACAAGACUGCCAUCGUAAGAUGUGAGGAAGGUGGGGAUGACGUCAAAUCAGCACGGCCCUUACGUCCGGGGCUACACACGUGUUACAAUGGGGGGUACAGAGGGCCGCUACCACGCGAGUGGAUGCCAAUCCCCAAAACCUCUCUCAGUUCGGACUGGAGUCUGCAACCCGACUCCACGAAGCUGGAUUCGCUAGUAAUCGCGCAUCAGCCACGGCGCGGUGAAUACGUUCCCGGGCCUUGUACACACCGCCCGUCAAGCCAUGGGAGCCGGGGGUACCUGAAGUGCGUAACCGCGAGGAGCGCCCUAGGGUAAAACUGGUGACUGGGGC